AGAGUUUGAUCCUGGCUCAGAACGAACGCUGGCGGCGUGCUUAACACAUGCAAGUCGAACGGUAACAGCAGAGCUUGCUCUGGCUGACGAGUGGCGAACGGGUGAGUAACGCGUAGGAAUUUGCCUGAUAGUGGGGGACAACGUGUGGAAACGCACGCUAAUACCGCAUACGCCCUAAGGGGGAAAGCGGAGGAUCUUCGGACUUCGUGCUAUCAGAUAAGCCUGCGUUGGAUUAGCUAGUUGGUAGGGUAAUGGCCUACCAAGGCGACGAUCUAUAGCUGGUUUGAGAGGAUGAUCAGCCACACUGGUACUGAGACACGGACCAGACUCCUACGGGAGGCAGCAGUGAGGAAUAUUGGUCAAUGGGCGAAAGCCUGAACCAGCCAUGCCGCGUGAAGGAUGACAGCGCUAUGCGUUGUAAACUUCUUUUGUACAGGAAGAAACACUUCUACGUGUAGAAGCUUGACGGUACUGUACGAAUAAGCAUCGGCUAACUCCGUGCCAGCAGCCGCGGUAAUACGGAGGAUGCAAGCGUUAUCCGGAUUUAUUGGGUUUAAAGGGUACGUAGGCGGAAAAUUAAGUCAGUAGUGAAAUCCUGCAGCUUAACUGUAGAACUGUUAUUGAUAUUGGUUUUCUUGAAUAUAGUUGAGGUAGGCGGAAUGUGUAAUGUAGCGGUGAAAUGCUUAGAUAUUACACAGAACACCGAUUGCGAAGGCAGCUUACUAAGCUAUGAUUGACGCUGAGGUACGAAAGCGUGGGGGAGCGAACAGGAUUAGAUACCCUGGUAGUCCACGCCGUAAACGAUGAUCACUCGUUGUUGGCAAUACACAGUCAGCGACUGAGCGAAAGCAUUAAGUGAUCCACCUGGGGAGUACGCUCGCAAGAGUGAAACUCAAAGGAAUUGACGGGGGCCCGCACAAGCGGU
rnacentral:rRNA from 1 species